AGGGAUUCCCCUAGUAACGGCGAGUGAAGCGGGAACAGCUCAAAUUUGAAAUCUGGCCCUUGGAACAGGGAUUCCCCUAGUAACGGCGAGUGAAGCGGGAACAGCUCAAAUUUGAAAUCUGGCCCUUGGGUCCGAGUUGUAAUUUGUAGAGGAUGCUUUUGGUGCGGUGCCUUCCGAGUUCCCUGGAACGGGACGCCUUAGAGGGUGAGAGCCCCGUACGGUUGGACGCCUAGCCUCUGUAAAGCUCCUUCGACGAGUCGAGUAGUUUGGGAAUGCUGCUCUAAAUGGGAGGUAUAUUUCUUCUAAAGCUAAAUACUGGCCAGAGACCGAUAGCGCACAAGUAGAGUGAUCGAAAGAUGAAAAGCACUUUGAAAAGAGGGUUAAAUAGCACGUGAAAUUGUUGAAAGGGAAGCGUUUAUCACCAGACUUUUUCUGGGGGGAUCAUCCGGUGUUCUCACCGGUGCACUUCCCCCAGUUGAGGCCAGCAUCGGUUUUCGGAGGGGGAUAAAAGUUUCGGGAAUGUGACUCCCUCGGGAGUGUUAUAGCCCGUUACAUAAUACCCUUCUGGGGACCGAGGUUCGCGCAUCUGCAAGGAUGCUGGCAUAAUGGUGAUCAACGACCCGUCUUGAAACACGGACCAAGGAGUCGAACAUUUAUGCGAGUGUUUGGGUGUUAAACCCUCACGCGUAAUGAAAGUGAACGGAGGUGAGAGCCCUUACGGGUGCAUCAUCGACCGAUCCUGAUGUCUUCGGAUGGAUUUGAGUAAGAGCAUAACUGUUCGGACCCGAAAGAUGGUGAACUAUGCGUGGAUAGGGUGAAGCCAGGAGAAAUCCUGGUGGAGGCUCGCAGCGGUUCUGACGUGCAAAUCGAUCGUCAAAUCUGCGCAUGGGGGCGAAAGACUAAUCGAACCAUCUAGU
rnacentral:rRNA from 1 species